GGAUGUGAGGAUGCUCUGGCCGAGACAUCUGUUAACCCAAUUGAUUGCCAGAGUUGACUCAGCUGAUCUAGCUGGCUAGGCUGGUGUCCCCUUCCUUACUCAGUGCUCCAUGUACAUCCCUCUUGAAGUUACAAAGAAGAUGGCAUUCCCAAAAUAGAUUAAUAGAUGAGGCCUGGUCUUAGGUUAAAGGAAAUGAGAAACUGUACACCCUUGCUAGAACACCCACACAAGCUUUCAAGAGAAUAUAUAAACUGUCACCUAGGAGUUAACACAAAUGUGAAAUAUGAGAAUACCAAAUAAAGCCCAGUGAUGAGAUGGCCUCUCCGAUG
rnacentral:snRNA from 1 species